rnacentral:lncRNA from 1 species
GUAGGAACUGUUUUAUGAAUUUUUGUUCGUCGUGUCAUUUUAGGAACACUCAGCCGCGGUUCCAAUUCGUUGUUAUGAAUAUGCGGAGGGAAGGUUUGGAUAUUUUCAUUUUCUCGAUCUAUCUUGGUUCAUUCAUUCAAUCUUUUGUUCUACUUUUCCUUAUUUUUAACCACACAUUCUCCAACAAAACACUAUUUCAAAAUGCAUUUUGGCCCAAUGUUUACAUAUAUAAGGUAAAGGCUGUAUGAUGCAUAAAUAUUUUGGUGCACUCUAAACUAAAGAUGUUCUAUAAGCACUGUAGAAUCAAGUGCACACUAGAUGAUUAAUUAUUUAUUUUAUGGUCAUUAGUGUAGCACUUUUUGUCUAUGAAACGUUGAAAUAUUGUAGCUAUUUCAAGUAAAUAAGGUUGGGAAAUCACAUAUCAAGAACUGAUGAUAAAACCGAGUUUAAAUGUGAAAAAAUGGUUGUAUAUGCUGAUCAUAGUUAUUUACAUGUAGAGCGAAACACACAAUUAAGCUCCAUGCCGGUUGUAUUUUGAAAUUGUAGAUGACUAUGAUUGAUAAACCUAGAGCUAUGUUUGUGCAUAGUUAUAAGCUCCUACAUGGGUUGGAAUGGAAGGGAGAAAGAUUAAAAGAAGUGGAAGAUAAGAUGUCAUUCUUCUGGAUUAUUGUGUGCUUUGUGCUUGUGAAAAUAUCUUCUGCUCUUAUCCUUUUGAAAAGAUAUGGAUUGUUUUCAAUUUUCAUUGUGACCUGAGGAUAUCAUCUCAUCCG